UACGUAGGGGGCUAGCGUUGUCCGGAAUCAUUGGGCGUAAAGAGCGUGUAGGCGGCCCGGUAAGUCCGCUGUAAAAGUCAAAGGCUCAACCUUUGAAUGUCAGUGGAUACUGCCGGGCUAGAGUCCGGAAGAGGAGAGUGGAAUUCCUGGUGUAGCGGUGAAAUGCGCAGAUAUCAGGAAGAACACCCGUGGCGAAGGCGGCUCUCUGGUACGUGACUGACGGCUGAGACGCGAAAGCGUGGGGAGCGAACAGG
rnacentral:rRNA from 1 species